AAAAAUCAAUAGAAAGUAAUAACAAUGAAUAAUUCUAACUAUGUCAGAUCAAAUUGUCCUAUUUUUGCCUUGUUUAUGAUUUGACAAGUUUUUUAUGUGACAAAUACGAUAGUCAAAUCACAAAUCAAGCUUAAGUCAAAUCACAAAUCAAACUUAAGUUAAAAAGAAAAACUGCAUCUAAUAAAAAAAAAAAAAAACCUCUCUCAGUCACAUCUUUC
rnacentral:lncRNA from 1 species